rnacentral:lncRNA from 1 species
UUUUUUUUUUUUUUUGCUUUUUAGGGCUGCAUAUGGAGGUUCCCAGGCUAGGGGUUGAAUCAGAGCUACAGCUGCCAGCCUACACCACAGCCACAGCAAUGUAGGAUCCAAGCCGCAUCUGUGACCUGCAUCACAGCUCGCAGCCACGCCGGAUCCUUAACCCAUUGAGCAAGGCCAAGGAUCGAACCUGCAACCUCACGGUUCCUAGUUGGAUUCGUUUCCACUGUGCCACGACGGGAACUACAAGCAGCAAAAUAAUUUCUUGAAAGGACCUCAGGUAACUUGCAGAAACCGAUCUUCAGUUACAGGGUAUUUAGUAUUUUGAAUUCUAAAGAAUUCAAACACAUGGCAGGAAAAAAUAUAUAUUUGUUCCAGAAAAUUGUAAACUUAUCUUCGCCCCUGCUUUCUCAAGAAGACAUAUAGGCAGGUAGCUGAGGGUUUCUGGUUUCCUGGGAACAAAGUCUUAGUCAGGGCGGAGGCCUUGCUACGCUAGAUCACAGCCUUACAGCCUGAGGACGAAGAGAAGCCCAGGGCUAACUCUGCAAAAAAAAGAGGGGGGGAUAGAGGAGACCCCGGAGAAUUCAGAGGCUUGGGAUCGCUUGAGGGGAGAGAGGGCUGUUUGCUGUAACCCUCCUUCCAUCUCUAGAGAGAAAUCCUCAGUACAAUGCCCAUUUCUCACGGCAGCCUUGCGGCCCAGUUUUGCUUUGGGGUAAUUAAGGGAAGCACUGAGCCCUGCUCCUUGGUGAAGGGAGUGAGUGGAGGCGGUGAAAGGCUGACACACCUGCACUGUAUUUUCGGACCCUGCCUGGGCUUUGGAUGGGCCAUUCAAAUCUCGAGUGAAUCGGGUUUACAUCAUUACUCUAAAUAAAAAGCCAAACAUACAGCAUUGCACCUACAGUAAACCAAUGCACUUCAUUUUGUUAAGAGAGUAAGUCUCAUGUUGAAUGUUCCUACUGGCCUAAAAAAUUUAACAACCGAACAUGCCUCUCCCCACCCCAGUGCUGCAAAAGUGCCAGGGCAGAGGCUGAUUCAGCCCAAGGAAAGAUGACCCUGGGAUAUUACCUCAACACCAGAGGGAAGUUGUGACUGUGAGGUCAGCAUGCUGGCCUGAUCAAGAAUGGACUUUUCAGAAAGUGUAUUAGUCAGGAUCCUUUGGGUUGCAAAUCAUGGAAAUUCAUCUCUCACAUGUUAAUCAAAACAAACAAACAACACCCAAAAACGUAAAAGGGGAAGGUGGAAUUACUGGCUCACAUAAAUGUGAAAGGCAGGAGUAGCGCUAGCUUCAGGAACGGCUAGAUCCAGGCACACAAGUCAGGUUGCCAGGUGUUUAUCGCCAUCUCACCACUCUGUCCUUUUUUGUGUGGGCUUCUCUCCCAGUUUAUGUCCCUCCUGGAGGGGCAAGAUGGCCCCGCAAAGUACCAUCCCAAUAUCACCCCUGCUGGAAAGAGCUGACUUUCCCAACCGUUCUGAGGAAAGUAUCAGGAUUGAGUCUCAUGGAACUGGCUGGGUUAUUUCCCCAACCAUGGAGUUAGGAGAAUGGGGUGAGCCACACAGGAACUCCUUGAACUGAGAGCAUAGGCAGGAAAAAUCUCUUAAAGGAAGUCAAGGUAUUUCUGAUACCAGGAAUGGGAAAACAGCAGUCCGUGACAAAUGGAGACACGCAUCCUAUGAAGUGAGCUCAGGAGACAGAUAUAAAAACAACAACAACAAACUUCCUUGUGUCACCCCGGCUGGAAAUUGGUGUUUAAUCCAGGCUUGAAGGACACAUGACUUACUAAGAAACGAGAGUGUCUCCAGGAAGGGGUGAGGCGGACUGGGGCAGAUACCCUUGGCUGAUUUGGGUCCCCACGCCUCCCCUUCUAGCCUUAGCUUCAGAGACAGGAUUUCCUGGAGCGGGAGCUGUCGCUGUAGAGCUGGCCACCAGACAAGCUCUGAAACCUUGGUCAAGGUCACAUGCUGCCAGACAAGAGGGACGUUUGCAGGGACUGCAGCCCCAGGGACAAGAGAGGAGAAUGCUGAAUUGUGGUUAGAGCUUCAGUGCAUCGUUAGAGGAGGAUGGUCGGAGAGAGGGGGAAACGGAGCCACAGUUUAGAGGUUUUAGGCUCUGGCAGCAGGAACCAAAUGCGGAUUCGAAGCUGCCCAUCGGGGCCUCCAUCUCUGCACGAGAAUGACCAGUGCUGCUUGAAGGCAUGGGCAGUGGAAAGGGAGGUGCCGGGAUUCCUCUGUCUCUGAGACAGAAGAGAGGAGAGAAGCGCUCCCCACACACAGUAGAACAGUAGAUAAAAGAGAUCUGUGCUGUGAGCCAUGAGCCGUAGGACGAGAUGUGCUUGAUCACAGCUUGGAGAAUCUGGCCCUGCGGGAGCAGAGAGAUAACCGUGGGUACAAGGGACACAGUCACAGUUUCCCCCGUCGCGCUGCCGCAAAGCAUUGGAAUGGCAGACAGCUUACAAAUGUAUUAAAGCAAAAGGGCAUUUUCAGAGAGAGAGAACGCACAUGAGCACAGGUUAAAAAAGAGGGCCUGGGAGGUCCUAUCGUGGCGCAGCAGCAAAUGAACCCGACUAGCCAGGGAUCGAACCUGCAACCUCAUGGUUCCUAGUUGGGUUCUUAACCUGUUGAGCCAGGAUGGGAACUCCCAUGACCUUUCUUGUUCCAGGUCCUAGGAACUGCUUCUCAGCCGCUUUAGCCAUUCAGGCCUAGAGGUGGGGACAGCUCUGCUGCCAGCUCCACGUUAGUGCACUUGAAGUCACCCUGUGCUUUGUAAUUAGGCCCUGUAUAAACAAACCGCCUGCCACUUUCAGGAGAUGGGGAGCUUGGCGCCGAGGCAGGAGGGGGUCUACCUUGUGCUACGGAGGAGGGGUGUCAGAGAUCUGGGACCGGGUUUGUCUCUGAAGUGAGAGAGCGGAUCGGGCCUGAACAUGCCACCAGCUCUCCUGGGCUCUUUCAAUGCUAAUGCGUCCACAUUUCAAGCCACCACGGUUCCACAUCUCCCCUAGUUCUCUCUCUUCCCCAGCAAAGCUGAGUAUGUGUGGGAGGCAGAGGAAGCAGGGCCAAAUGGGGCAUCCAGGAGGCUCCCUCGAAGAGACUGGGGGCCUGUGGGGAGGGAAAGGGGCCUCUCCCCCUGGAUGCUCUCUGAGCUGGGACUCUGCAGGCUCAUCCUGGUGCUGCAGCUGGAAUCAAGUGUGGUGAGAAAGUGGGGCUGUGGGCAGGGGGGACCUACGAGACUGGGGCUGUUUGUGAACACAGAGAAUGGAUUAGAGAGUUCUAAAGACAGGCGGCUCGUGGAAGGGCCUACGUCAGCAAGCUUGUCAGGAUCAAGAUAUUGGGGGGCCUGGGAGGAACAUGGGGCACCCCUCCCAGUUCCUCAUAUUUGCCAUGGCUCCAUAUGAAAGAGCGUGAGGUUGAGAGGAGGCACAGAGGGCCAGCCAGCAGCCACAAGGAGUAGGGUCCCCCAUUUGGGGGAGGGGCUGGGGACAGACCCAUGGUAGGGACAAAGGAAGGCCAGGCAGCCCCUGUCCGUGGAAGUCCUUGGCAAUGAAGGGCCAAGGGAGAGCUGAGUGACACCCAGGAAGUCACGGGUGUUCCCUCUGUGGACAUCACCACAUCACAGAGGCCACCAAGGGCAAACAGAACCGGAGCAAGGUCAGGGACAGGUCUCUGAAGCAGAAUGAAGCCGGGGGGGCAAGAGAGCUCACAGGCCUUCUCUCCACCCCCAGGAGUUAGUGAUGAGAAAAGAGAGCGGAGCAUGCCCCUGGCCUAUCACGGUCCCCAGCCACCAAGCCUCUCUAGUCACAUUCUAGCCUGGGUGGGGUAGAGGGUUGCUGUGAAUUGGGUAAGAGGUUGAGGUUUUUGCUUUGUUUUUUGUCUUUUUUUUUUUUUUUUUUUUGCCUUUUCCAGGGCCAGCAUAUGGAGGUUCCCAGGCUAGGGGUCGAAUUGGAGCUGUAGCCACAGGCCUACGCCAGAGCCACAGCAACACGAGAUCCAAGCAGUGUCUGCAACCACAGCUCAUGGCAACACCUGAUCCUUAACCCACUGAGCAAGGGCAGGAAUCGAACCCGCAACCUCAUGGUUCCUAGUUGGAUUUGUUAACCACUGCGCCACAACGGGAACUCCGAGAUUGAAGUUUUAAACUGGACAGGUCUAGGUUUAAAUAACUGAAUGAGGAGUUCUCGUUGUGGUUUGGUGGGUUAAGAACCCAGCUAGUAUCCAUGAGGAUGUGGGUUUGAUCCCUGGCCGUGCUCAGUGGGUGAAUGACCCAGUGUUGCUGUGGCUGUGGUGUAGGCCGGCAGCUGCAGCUUUGAUUCACCCCAUGGCCCGGAAACUUCCAUGUGCUGCAGAUGUGGCCCUAAAAGAAAAGACCAGAAGGUUAUUAAAACUGCCUGUGGUGUUAAAAAAGAGGAAAGAGGAAAGGGAAUGAUGAGGAAGAUUAAAAAGACCCAGAAUUUCUUCAUGCAACUACCUCAACAGGUUGAACCAAACUCCUCAGCAACCAGGUGUGCUAAGAAAAUGACCACUGGCCUUCCAUCUCCAUAGUGAGGCAUCCCUCCCACCUGAGUCGAAGAGGGCACCUGGGGACCAGAGCACCUGCCAAAGAGCCUGAGCUUCACCUUGACUGGGCCGCCUUGGCUGACAAGCCUCUCUUGAACCCAUCCCUGGACCAAAGAGGUGGCAGGUACUGAUUGUUCGAGCUCAGGUCAUAUUUCUACCCCUGGAGGUGGCCUCCCUGGGACCACAGCAUUCCCAGAAGGGAGGUGGGAACUGCAGGGAAGAAGGAAGGAAGGAUGAAUUGGGGGAAAUUUCGCGUUGGGGAAACUUUUGGCAUAAAGUUUCUGUCCCAGGAAGAGAGUGGAACCAAAACAAAAACGUACAGGAGUUUUAUAAUUCCCAGAAUAACAGCCAUUGACACGCUUAAAGAUGACACUAACGGGUGGGUUGGAGCAGCAGGGCAGAGUUAAAUAUCCCGGCAGUAAGGAAAAGGAGGCCCUGUUCCCCGGUGGCCCAGUGAAGGACUCAGCAUUGUCACCGCUGUGGCUGCUGUGGCUCAGUACAGGAACUUGCGCAGGCCGUGGGUGCAGCCAAAACAAACAAACGAGAAAGAUUUUUAAAAAGAAAGAACGAAACAGGCGGCCAGGAGAGCUCUGAGCUGAGGGCGAGCUCCUGGGGGCUGGGAGGGGCCUCUGGAUGAAGGGAGGGCAGGAAGGGGAGCUUCGGGACUAAAGGCACGUCUGAAGGGGAUUUUCCGAAGUGAAAUGGUGAAAGUGAAAGUGAAGGAAGCCAAGAGCAGAGCCCUCGCCCCCGUUUUCCCGUGUGAAAUCAGCAGUUACAGGGUCAGUUUCUUCAGCUGUGGGCAUGACGACCGAAUGCAAGGUGGCAGCCAGGACUGGGUCCUGGGACAAAAGUGGGACAUGGCUGCAAACGCCGGGGAGGUCCAGUUACAGCCUCGAGUGUAGUUCAUAGCCACUGUUGGAGGUUCCCCCACCAAAAAAGAGAGAGAGUGAGAGAGACAAAAAAUAGUAAUUAAUGUCAAUUUCUUUGUUGUGAC